GGCGGCAGGCUUACACAUGCAAGUCGAACGAGCUCUUCGGAGCUAGUGGCAGACGGGUGAGUAACGCGUGGGAAUCUACCCAGUUCUCUGGAAUAACUGAUGGAAACGUCAGCUAAUACCGGAUACGCCCUUUUGGGGAAAGAUUUAUCGGGAUUGGAUGAGCCCGCGUAAGAUUAGCUAGUUGGUGGGGUAAUGGCCUACCAAGGCGACGAUCUUUAGCUGGUCUGAGAGGAUGAUCAGCCACACUGGGACUGAGACACGGCCCAGACUCCUACGGGAGGCAGCAGUGGGGAAUAUUGGACAAUGGGGGCAACCCUGAUCCAGCCAUGCCGCGUGAGUGAUGAAGGCCUUAGGGUUGUAAAGCUCUUUCACCGGUGAAGAUAAUGACGGUAACCGGAGAAGAAGCCCCGGCUAACUUCGUGCCAGCAGCCGCGGUAAUACGAAGGGGGCUAGCGUUGUUCGGAAUUACUGGGCGUAAAGCGCACGUAGGCGGAUAUUUAAGUCAGGGGUGAAAUCCCGGAGCUCAACUCCGGAACUGCCUUUGAUACUGGAUAUCUA
rnacentral:rRNA from 1 species